CCCGACGAAAGAGAGGAUAUCAACCCCACGCCGCUGUCUCCUUCCCGCAUCGAUCUCCUUUCUCCCCGCCCCAUUUCUCGUCAGUUCGUUCCAUGGGACUCCGUGGUUAAUCCCGGCUAUGGCCGCCGCGAGAUCUGCCUUCUCCAGCAACAUCCGGCACCGGAUUCGGGUUCCACUGCCGGCACCUACCACGGGGGGCACAUAGAAGGCCGGCGGCGGCGCAGCGGUACCAUGAGGCCGACGAGGAGCGGGGGCCGGAUCCACUGGCCGUCGGGGGGUGGCUGAUCCGGCGAGGUUCCUCGAUCCCGCCAACCAGAAGCCCGUCCACCGGCAUCCUGGCUGCCCCGGCAGCCAUGGUCGCCGUUGGUGUCUCCGUUCAGCACGGGCACCAUGAGGGGUCAUCACGCAAGGUUGUCGCCGGAUCCGGCGACACCAAGCCUGACUACCACCGGAUCUGAUCGUCGGCCUCCUCUGCUACUUCAAUUUCAGGAUUUUUCAGUGAGAUUUGUAAUGAUUUUGAGUGAGAUUUGUAAUGAUUUUGAGUGAGAUUGGAAUGAUUUUCAGUGAGAUUUGAAUUGAAAUAGCUAUGUGUAGUUGAGAUGUGCAAAAAUGUGAAACUGGGAUUUCAAUGUGUUGUUGCAAGUUGCAAAACUAAUUUCUGUGAAAAUAUAUGGAAUUAGAUCUCUGAAAUAUAUGAAACAGCUAUUUCUCUUA